rnacentral:lncRNA from 1 species
AAAAAAUAUUAAAUAUAAACAAACAAGUGAAACUGCGAGCUACUGCUCACUGAUGAUACCCCCGCCGCAAGUGGAUAAUAUUAAUAGUGUAAAAAUAUGCAAGUGUUCGGUAAACAGGAAGUUGUCGAGUGAUGAAUCUGAAAACGCAUCACACGGUAUAGCUGACUUAUAUAAAUCCUGAAACCAAAUUUCAGAAAUCCUUGUAUUGUAGUUCCUGAGAAAAAUGUGACGAAAAUUUUCAACUUGGCUAUCAUGUGUAAAAUCAGACAAGUGUUCGGUAAACAGGAAGUUGUCAAGUGAUGAAUCUGAAAACGCAUCACACGGUAUGGCUGACAUAUAUAAAUGUUGAUACCAAAUUACAGAAAGGGUGGAUGUGUAGUUCCUGAGAAAAAUGUGACGAAAGUUUCAUGGGACGGACUGACUGACGGACGGACGGACUGACGGACGGACGGACUGACGGACGGACAGACAGAGGUAAAACAGUAUACCCCCCUUUUUUAAAGCGGG